rnacentral:rRNA from 1 species
GCCCUCGAGAUGGGGAUAGCCAUUAGAAAUAGUGGAUAAUACCGAAUACGCUCAUGACCCUGUGGGGAUAUGAGGAAAACAGGCUACGGCCUGGCUCGAGGAGUGGGCCCGCGUCCCAUUAGCUAGUUGGUGAGGUAACCGGCCCACCAAGGCGACGAUGGGUAUCCGGCCUGAGAGGGUGUACGGACACAUUGGGACUGAGAUACGGCCCAAACUCCUACGGGAGGCAGCAGCUAAGAAUAUUCCGCAAUGGACGAAAGUCUGACGGAGCGACGCCGCGUGGAUGAAGAAGGCCGGAAGGUUGUAAAAUCCUUUUUGCUGAUGAAGAAUAAGUGUGGUAGGGAAUGACCGCAUGAUGACAUUAGUCGGUGAAUAAGCCCCGGCUAACUACGUGCCAGCCGCGGC